AGAAUCAACGCUGGCGGCGUGCCUAACACAUGCAAGUCGAGCGCGAAAGGGGAGCAAUCCCCGAGUAGAGCGGCGAACGGGUGAGUAACGCGUGGGUAAUCUACCUCCGAGUGGGGAACAACAGCGGGAAACUGCUGCUAAUACCGCAUGACAUCGUCGAGCCUUCGGGCCUGACGAUCAAAGCCGGGGACCGCAAGGCCUGGCGCUUGGAGAGGAGCCCGCGUCCGAUUAGCUAGUUGGCGGGUAAUGGCCCACAAGGCUCCGAU
rnacentral:rRNA from 1 species